rnacentral:rRNA from 1 species
UACAGAGGCCCCGAGCAUUAUCCGGAAUCACUGGGCGUAAAGGGUGUGUAGGCGGCGAUGUUAGUCUCUCGUUAAAGUUCUCGGGCUUAACCCAGGAAAUGCGAGGGAAACGGCAUCGCUUUGAGGAUAUGAGAGGUAUAGGGAACUCAUGGUGUAGGGGUGAAAUCCGUUGAUAUCAUGGGGAACACCAAAUGCGAAGGCACUAUACUGGCAUACUCCUGACGCUGAGACACGAAAGCGUGGGAAUCGAAAAGG